UGCAAGUCGAGCGGUAGAGAGGAGCUUGCUCCUCUUGAGAGCGGCGGACGGGUGAGUAAUGCCUAGGAAUCUGCCUGGUAGUGGGGGAUAACGUUCGGAAACGGACGCUAAUACCGCAUACGUCCUACGGGAGAAAGCAGGGGACCUUCGGGCCUUGCGCUAUCAGAUGAGCCUAGGUCGGAUUAGCUAGUUGGUGAGGUAAUGGCUCACCAAGGCGACGAUCCGUAACUGGUCUGAGAGGAUGAUCAGUCACACUGGAACUGAGACACGGUCCAGACUCCUACGGGAGGCAGCAGUGGGGAAUAUUGGACAAUGGGCGAAAGCCUGAUCCAGCAAUGCCGCGUGAGUGAAGAAGGCCUUCGGGUUGUAAAGCUCUUUUGUCAGGGAAGAAACGGUGAAGGCUAAUAUCCUUUGCUAAUGACGGUACCUGAAGAAUAAGCACCGGCUAACUACGUGCCAGCAGCCGCGGUAAU
rnacentral:rRNA from 1 species